rnacentral:rRNA from 1 species
AUUGAACGCUGGCGGCAGGCCUAACACAUGCAAGUCGAGCGAGCGGCGGACGGGUGAGUAAUGUCUGGGAAACUGCCUGAUUGAGGGGGAUAGCUACUGGAAACGGUAGCUAAUACCGCAUACCAUCGGAUGUGCCCAGAUGGGAUUAGCUAGUGGGUGGGGUAAUGGCUCACCUAGGCGACGAUCCCUAGCUGGUCUGAGAGGAUGACCAGCCAAACUGGAACGGAGAAACGGUCCGGACUCCUACGGGAGGCAGAAGUGGGGAAUAUUGCACAAGGGGCGAAAGCCUUAUGCAGCCAUGCCGGGGGGGGGAAGAAGGCCUUCGGGUUGUAAAGCACGUUCAGCGGGGAGGCGGUACCCGAAGAAGAAGCACCGGCUAACUCCGUGCCAGCAGCCGCGGUAAUUC